CUAGUUUAGACCACGACGCCUGAGCACGUCGGCGACCAUGGACGCGUGCAAUGCCCUUUGUGCGUCCGUCAUGUGCAUCGUAUCCGCAUUCAGGAGCUGCAUAUCGAGCUACCUCUCCUUGAUAUCGUUCCUCCGCGUGUACUAGGCGGUGAAUGCCCUCAUCUGUUGGUCGGACCUGUCCAACCUCUCCACUAUUUCGGGUGGAGACUCCGAGCUCAUCUGCGACGCUGACGCCUUCCCUUUCCUCUUUGCCGCCGCCUUCGCCGCAUUGUUGCCAAUGGGCCGAGAAGAAGAGAUCUCCUCGCCCAAUGUCGAGGUGGUAAAGCCGCCAUCUUCCGUAGUAUUUGUCACCUUGGAGGCAUGCACGUCUCCAAUGAACUACAUCGACUUGAACUUGGGAUUGUUCCGAAGAACUUUCCACGCGUUUCAAAAAUUGAACGCGG
rnacentral:lncRNA from 1 species